rnacentral:lncRNA from 1 species
GGAGCAUUGCCAUCUUGUACAAGCACCACCAUUUUAAAGUUCCCCUUGAUCAAAAACUGCCUAAAUCCAAAGGGCAUCAGCCUAAUAGCUGAGGUCAGCAUGACCAUAAACCACAAAUUACAUCUCCAACCAGAAACAUUCCAACCCUAAGAUAACCUCCCCCCAACCAGAGAGGACACCCUCCUGUUUGGGUGAGGCUCAUAAUGAGGCCCCCUCACCAUUACAGGAGGAAAUCUCUUCACUGCUGGCACUGACAAUGGAAGACUGAGGGUGCCCGGGAUCCUUCACCCCCACAUCCAGUGAGUCCACGGAACCCAGGGUAACUGGGAUGGUAUCUGAUGAUAGCAAAUUGGAGUCAGUGUUAGCAAGACUCUCCCACUUGGAAAGACAAAAUAGUGUAUAGUCAUUCACACUGUGAACUCUAUUUCCAAGAAGAAAUGCAGAAACUUAACAGGAAAACGGAAAUCCACCAAUUCUCUGAAAGAAGCUGCAUGCUGCAGCCUACAUUGUAAGAUUGCUGUUGAAUAUCUUUAAUAUAUCAAAACCUGCAAGGUGCUAGACAUACAAGAAAAAAUCCAAAUCUGUUGUUCUCCUUGUCUUGGAGCUGACCCUUUCCAGCAGAUGAUAUCACCUCUAAGGUCUCAAAACUUUUCUUUUGAGUUAUUGAUAGCUUUUAACAAUUUAUUUUACUCCUAAGGACAAAAUUUGGGGCAUAUUUGUUUCUCUCGACCUGAUUUCUGCAGAAUUUGGAAACUAUUUGUGAGUAUUCUUAAUUUAUGGCAAUACAGUUAUUUGCAUAAGUGUAAUAAGAAUCUAUUUUUAAUUGUAACAGAACACAGUUAGAGAAACUGGUUAUUUUACCAAGGCUUUGAAUGGAAUGGUGUGCUUCCCUUUAAGGAAUCAAACUUGACUUAUGGAGCCAAUAAAGCCCUUGGAGAAGCUGGCGUCAUAUUUUAUAUACACAGUCCCUGUACAGGGUUUCUGACCUGUGCACUGAAAGCUAAGCUGUGCUUUCAGAAAUCCCUGAGAACUGAAGCUAGACAACUUAAUCUUCAGAAGAAAAUAACAGCAACCUAUUUAUGUACAUAAGCCACUUUCAUACCUGCCUACUGAUAUAUGGACUUCAGAGUAUUGUGGACUAUAUUGAUUUUCCAGAAUUGUUCUUUUGUUUGUUAUUACUUUUCUCCCUUUCUCCCCCUGUUUUUUUUUUCACAACAAAUUGCUUUUAUUUUGGUAUGCAUCCACAUUUCAGCAUUUAGUGGUCCUGAACAGAAAGUGGAAAGACACAGCAAUUCAAUCCCCCCAAUUUUGGGGAUCUGCUGUGCACACUAGGUUCUUUCUUAAUCCCUGCUGAGGAACUUGAGAAGCAGCAGCAGCACCAAAACCAAGGCAUGCACCGGAUUCAAGGUUCUUUUUGUUCCAGUUGUCAGAUUCCAAACUAGACCCCAAUGUAUUGCAAGUAUGACCAAAUAAAAGCCCUGUUUAAAACUUCUUCUUUUUCUUUUCUUUUUUUUUUUUUUGAGACAGAGUUUCACUCUUGUUGCCUAGGCUGGAGUGCAAUGGCACGAUCUCAGCUCACUGCAACCUCUGCCACCUGGGUUCAAGCAAUUCUCCUGCCUUAGCCUCCCAGGUAGUGGGAUUACAAGCAUGUGCCGCCACACCCAGCUAAUUUUGUAUUUUUAGUACAGAUGGGGUGUCACCAUGUUGGUCAGGCUGGUCUCGAACUCCUCACCUCAGGUGAUCCACCUGCC